rnacentral:rRNA from 1 species
AACGAACGCCGGCGGCGCGCCUAAUACAUGCAAGUCGAACGAGAAGCUGUAGCAAUACAGUUGUACAGUGGCGAACGGGUGAGGAAUACAUGGGUGACCUACCCUCGAGUGGGGAAUAACCAGCCGAAAGGUUGGCUAAUACCGCGUACGCUUCCCAGUCUACGGGUUGGGAAGGAAAGCGAUGCCGUGGGUAUCGCGCUCAAGGUUGGCUCAUGUCCUAUCAGCUUGUUGGGGGUAACGGCUCACCAAGGCAACGACGGGUAGCUGGUCUGAGAGGACGAUCAGCCACACUGGCACUGCGACACGGGCCAGACUCCUACGGGAGGCAGCAGUAAGGAAUAUUGCGCAAUGGGCGAAAGCCUGACGCAGCGACGCCGCGUGGGGGA